rnacentral:lncRNA from 1 species
CCAACUUUUAAAAAAUUUGCUUUUUUUGUUCCUCCUGGCCUUUGGAGAUGAGAUUCACGACUGUGGGCAGGCAAUUAGAUUUUAAAGCAGGAGAAUGCCGUUGCACUUGCCAGGAACCGCUGAAGCAAGCAGGAGAGCCCGUGGGCUUCGAAUCCUGGCACGGAGGCAGGCGCUCCCAGCCCAGCUCUCCUAGGAUGGACUAGAGAAGUGUGUUUGUCUUUGUUCUGAAGAGAGAAAUUUAAUUUCAUCCCCCGAGCAUUAUCUGCAUGGUAAUUCCAUAGCUAGGAGAUACUGGCUUUCAAAAGGCUGGGCCAUUGCCUGGUUUGGGAAAUGUCAAGAGUUGGCAUGGUCUAGCAGAGGGUCAGCUUCCAGUAGUGGGCCAGUCCACGGGCUUCAUGCUCAGCCUUCAUCUGUGGCCCUGUUCCCAGGAAGGCUGCUAUCUCUCUAAAGACCAGAGGACCUUGUGUCCCCAAGCUAGCCUUCUCACAUGCUGCCAGCUGAGUCACGAGGUUGGGAGCUGACAUCAGAUUUCCAAAGCCACUGAGAAAGAAAUGCCAACACUUGUUCAAGAAGCUGGCUGGUGCUGUGCCUAGAACUCUGGACUGGAAGCCACCUGGAGAUGAAUCUGGGCUUGGAAGAUCCUGUCUAUGGGACCCCAGACAUGGAGCUUAUCUUCUCACGGCGGCAGGUGUGAGCCACUGCACGCAGCCAUGAGUGAUGUCUUUAUAAGAAGAGACUGGGACACCGACCCACACAGAGGGCGCCCUUCCACACAGAAGAAGACAGCCGGAAGAAGACAGCCAUCUAUCUAUAAGCCAAAGCAAAGCCUGAGGAGAAACAACAGUGCUGACACAUUGACAAUACAUUUCUGUCAUUUAAGCCACCCAGUCUAUGGUGCUUUGUUACAUGCACGCACCCUGCAAAGCACCUGGGCAAAACAAUAUGCCAUGUCUCUGGCACUCUGCUAGGUCUUGGUGACUCUUUCUGACAUACAGAAUGUAUUUGGUGAUACACCAAAAGAAUAGAAAUCACACUUAGAAUCCAAGUCCUUCCUGGUCUGACCCAUUCC